rnacentral:rRNA from 1 species
GAGGAAAAGAAACUAACAAGGAUUCCCCUAGUAACGGCGAGUGAAGCGGGAAGAGCUCAAAUUUGAAAUCUGGCACUUUCAGUGUCCGAGUUGUAAUCUCGAGAAGUGUUUUCCGCGCUGGACCGCAUAUAAGUCUGUUGGAAUACAGCGUCAUAGUGGUGAGAACCCCGUAAUUGAUGCGGACGCCCAGUGCUUUGUGAUACACUUUCGAAGAGUCGAGUUGUUUGGGAAUGCAGCUCAAAUUGGGUGGUAAAUUCCAUCUAAAGCUAAAUAUUGGCGAGAGACCGAUAGCGAACAAGUACCGUGAGGGAAAGAUGAAAAGCACUUUGGAAAGAGAGUUAACAGUACGUGAAAUUGUUGGAAGGGAAACGCUUGAAGUCAGACUUGCUGUUUGGAAUUCAGCCGCAAGGUGUACUUUUCAGAUAUGCAGGCCAGCAUCAGUUUUUGGGGGUGAAAAAGGGUAUUGAGAAGGUAGCAGUUUCGGCUGUGUUAUAGCUCUUUGCUGGAUUCAUCCUUGGGGACUGAGGAACGCAGCUCACUUUUUGCACGAUCUUCGGAUUGUUCUGAGCUUAGGAUGCUGGUGGAAUGGCUUUAAACGACCC